GAAAAGGUUUGGACAAUUUUACCCCUGCCGCUGAAGUUGUGAAACGAUUUCGGGCACUCUUUUGUUGCCGCCGCCGCCGCCGCGCGCUGAAGACGGCGACAGAUUUGGGGAUGGAUUUGGGCUCGUGCUACCUCGGCGGCAACGCCGACGCGGUGGAGUUCUGCCCGCACCGCCCGUUCCGCCACGUGCUCGCCGCCGCCACCUACACGCUGCAGGAGCAGGACCGCGCGGGAAGCAUCUUCCUCUUCUCCGUCGACGCCGGCGCGGAGGACGAGUCCCAGCGACUCCGGCUUCUGCAUACUGUAGAGACCGCCGGCGUCUUCGAUAUGAAGUGGAGCCCCGCGUCGCCGCUGCUCGCGCAGGCCGACGCCCACGGCCGCCUCGCGCUCCGGCGCCUGGAGCAGGAGGACGGCUCGGAUACAGGCAUUGUCUUCACGGAUGUGUGUGCUGAAGAUAUUUCUUCUUCAAUGUGCCUGUACGUGGACUGGAACCAAACUGCUGAGUCUCUGUCUGUCGGAUUAUCAGAUGGCUCACUGUCUGUAGUCUCAGUGAGAGAGGACCGGUUGGAGAUAUCAGAACAGUGGGCUGCACAUCAAUUCGAAGUCUGGACAUGUUAUUUUGAUCGCACAAGGCCACACUUGCUGUACAGUGGAUCAGAUGACUGCUGUUUCACUUGCUGGGACUUGAGAGAAAGCCCAUCUAACAUUGUUUUUCGAAACAAAAAGUCUCAUAGUAUGGGUGUUUGCUGUUUUGCUCAGAAUCCAUUUGAGGGGAACAUGCUACUUACUGGAAGUUAUGAUGAAUUUCUCAGAGUUUGGGACAUGAGAUUAAUGGCAAAACCUGUUAACGAAAAGUUGAUAAAUCUAGGAGGUGGUGUGUGGAGGAUGAAGUAUCAUCCUAGUAUUGCAGAUGUUGUAUUGGCUGCAUGCAUGCACAAUGGGUUUGCCAUUGUUAAAGUAGGUUCUGGAGAUGCUACGAUAAUGGAAACAUAUUGCAAGCAUGAGUCCUUAGCAUACGGUGCGGAUUGGCAGAAAAGUGAAGGAGCGGAGCAGAAUGGAAAUUCUUCAGUUGUUGCUACUUGUUCAUUUUAUGACCGCCUUCUCCGUGUGUGGCAACCAGAGAACCUAGCGGAGCUUUAAGGCAAAGCUUCAUCUUACUCAAUUCAGGAUGACUACGCCAUGAAGCUAUUUCCUGAAUGAACCAAUAUAAUUUCAUUCAGGUUUGCAAGUGGAAUGGGAAUUUAUCUGGAGAAGGAAUAUAGUCAGAAACUCAGAAUUGACAUGUGCUGAGGCAAGAACAGCAUUGGUGUGACUGUGAGUUCCAGCAAAUGAGCACUUAUAACAGUAAACUUUGGUUUAACUUUUAUUGUCCUUUCUCCACUAAAACAUGCGGUGCUGGCCAAUAUAAAAUACCACCAUGCAGAUUCUCAGUUCUUGCAAUUUAUUUAGCUGGACAGUCAGCUGCAGACAUCAUCAAGCUCACCAGGGUAUAUAAAGUAGCCCUCUCCCCUCCCCUGGUUCACAGCCCCCAUAGAGGCAUAGACCAUGGAUGAUGCAUGGCUUGAGCAUCUACAUGGUUCUUGAGAGCUAAAGUAGAAUGAAGAUGGAGGGCGAGAGCUGAGCUCCUCCGCAAGAAGCAUUCAGUUUUAUGGUGCCUUUCCUGACCUCCCUGGUGGUCAGCUGAGGUACGCAUAAACCGGCAAGUCACAAGACGGCAAUGGCGAACUCCAUCUGGAGUCCUCCCGUUUUUCUUUACCUCUUAGUUGUGUCAGGCGAAAGCGAAAUGGAUAACUAAGUAUUCGUGUGUGUGAUGGAUCCAUGUAUACAUUGCUGGGCCCAUGUUUGUCUCAUGUGUACUCUAGAAACAUGAUACUAUGAAUGAAAGAUAUGACAAUACUUUGUUGCUCA